GAUGAACGCUAGCGGCAGGCUUAACACAUGCAAGUCGAGGGGUAUUGGUUUUCGGACCAAGAGACCGGCGCACGGGUGCGUAACGCGUAUGCAAUCUACCUUUUGCAGAGGGAUAGCCCAGAGAAAUUUGGAUUAAUACCUCAUAGUAUAGUAGUUUCGCAUGAAACGACCAUUAAAGUUCCAACGGCAAAAGAUGAGCAUGCGUCCCAUUAGCUAGUUGGUAAGGUAACGGCUUACCAAGGCAACGAUGGGUAGGGGUCCUGAGAGGGAGAUCCCCCCACACUGGUACUGAGACACGGACCAGACUCCUACGGGAGGCAGCAGUGAGGAAUAUUGGACAAUGGGCGCAAGCCUGAUCCAGCCAUGCCGCGUGCAGGUUGACGGUCCUAUGGAUUGUAAACUGCUUUUGUACAGGAAGAAACACUCCCUCGUGAGGGAGCUUGACGGUACUGUAAGAAUAAGGAUCGGCUAACUCCGUGCCAGCCGCCGCCGUAA
rnacentral:rRNA from 1 species